AUCCCCAUACUGGUCCCAGUACCUCCCUUAUUCUGGUCCCAGUGCCACCCAUGCACCAGCCCCACACCAGCCCCAUACUGGUCCCAGUGCUGUCCCCAUACUGGUCCCAGUGCCACUCUCACACUGGUCCCAGUGCCACCCUUGUUCUGGUCCCAGUGCCAUC
rnacentral:lncRNA from 1 species